AGAGCGAACGCUGGCGGCAUGCUUAACACAUGCAAGUCGCACGGGCAGCAAUGUCAGUGGCGGACGGGUGAGUAACGCGUAGGUAUCUAUCCUUGGGUGGGGGACAACUGUGGGAAACUACAGCUAAUACCGCAUGAUGACUGAGGUCCAAAGGCGCAAGUCGCCUGGGGAGGAGCCUGCGUACGAUUAGCUAGUUGGUGGGGUAAAGCCUACAAGGCGACGAUCGUUAGCUGGUCUGAGAGGAUGAUCAGCCACAUUGGGACUGAGACACGGCCCAAACUCCUACGGGAGGCAGCAGUGGGGAAUAUUGGACAAUGGGCGAAAGCCUGAUCCAGCAAUGCCGCGUGUGUGAAGAAGGUCUUCGGAUUGUAAAGCACUUUCGACGGGACGAUAAGUGACGGUACCCGUAGAAGAAGCCCGGCUAACUUCGUGCCAGCAGCCGC
rnacentral:rRNA from 1 species